UCUUGGUCACCAUUAGAGGAAGUAAAAGUCGUAACAAGGUCUCCGUUGGUGAACCAGCGGAGGGAUCAUUACUGAGUUUACGCUCUAUAACCCUUUGUGAACAUACCUAUAACUGUUGCUUCGGCGGGUAGGGUCUCCGCGACCCUCCCGGCCUCCCGCCUCCGGGCGGGUCGGCGCCCGCCGGAGGAUAACCAAACUCUGAUUUAACGACGUUUCUUCUGAGUGGUACAAGCAAAUAAUCAAAACUUUUAACAACGGAUCUCUUGGUUCUGGCAUCGAUGAAGAACGCAGCGAAAUGCGAUAAGUAAUGUGAAUUGCAGAAUUCAGUGAAUCAUCGAAUCUUUGAACGCACAUUGCGCCCGCCAGCAUUCUGGCGGGCAUGCCUGUUCGAGCGUCAUUUCAACCCUCAAGCUCUGCUUGGUGUUGGGGCCCUACAGCUGAUGUAGGCCCUCAAAGGUAGUGGCGGACCCUCCCGGAGCCUCCUUUGCGUAGUAACUUUACGUCUCGCACUGGGAUCCGGAGGGACUCUUGCCGUAAAACCCCCCAAUUUUCCAAAGGUUGACCUCGGAUCAGGUAGGAAUACCCGCUGAACUUAAGCAUAUCAAUAGGCCCGGAGGAA
rnacentral:rRNA from 1 species